rnacentral:rRNA from 1 species
UACGGAGGGGGCUAGCGUUGUUCGGAAUUACUGGGCGUACAGCGCGCGUAGGCGGCUUUGUAAGUUAGAGGUGAAAGCCCAGGGCUCAACCCUGGAAUUGCCUUUAAGACUGCAUCGCUUGAACAUCGGAGAGGUAAGUGGAAUUCCGAGUGUAGAGGUGAAAUUCGUAGAUAUUCGGAAGAACACCAGUGGCGAAGGCGACUUACUGGACGAUUGUUGACGCUGAGGUGCGAAAGCGUGGGGAGCAAACAGG